AUGCUCUUAUACACUAAAAAAAAAAAACAAUUCCAGAAACCUCCCACACGAAAAUCAACCACCCCAUACCAGAGUUCGAGAAUCUUGCCGGAACUCGAAGACGCGCGGACGCACAAGCCGGAACAUUCGGACCAUCGUUUCGCCAUAGCUCGCCGGAAACCGGAGGCAUCGCCGGAGAUCGGAGAAAACGACCGGAACUCGCGGCCCUUAUCAUCUCGGAUAACCGCUUCCGUUCGUUCGGUUUCUCAAUUUUACUCGUGCGUUAUUUUACAAGGAAUCGCAAAUGCAACCACUGUGAACAGGUACGAAGAGAAGAUUGGACAUAGGAUGGGCCUUAGUUAACAAGAAACGAAUUAGUGUAGUUUAUUUGUUAUGAUCUUGUAUUUGUAAUUAUGUAUUGAAAUUAUUUGUUUCAUGAAACAUUUGUUAUGAAUUAAUGAUUAUUUAAAACAAGUAAUAGCAAGUCAUAAGCUUUGGAUCAACCCAAUCAUGCCCUGAUCACCUAUCUCCGCUGCGGGUUGGGGUGUGACAGUAUAUUUACCUGUAAAUCUGAACAUUGAGAUCUGGAUAUGGGAGUAUGUUCAA